rnacentral:rRNA from 1 species
GUGGGGAAUAUUGGGCAAUGGGCGCAAGCCUGACCCAGCAACGCCGCGUGAAGGAAGAAGGCUUUCGGGUUGUAAACUUCUUUGACAGGGGACGAAACAAAUGACGGUACCCUGAAAACAAGCCACGGCUAACUACGUGCCAGCAGCCGCGGUAAUACGUAGGUGGCAAGCGUUAUCCGGAUUUACUGGGUGUAAAGGGCGUGUAGGCGGGAUUACAAGUCAGAUGUGAAAACUAUGGGCUCAACCCAUAGCCUGCAUUUGAAACUGUAGUUCUUGAGUGAUGGAGAGGCAGACGGAAUUCCUCGUGUAGCGGUGAAAUGCGUAGAUAUGAGGAGGAACACCAGUGGCGAAGGCGGUCUGCUGGACAUUAACUGACGCUGAGGCGCGAAAGCCAGGGGAGCGAACGGGAUUAGAUACCCGAGUAGUCC